rnacentral:piRNA from 1 species
UCCGAGAUGUAAUACAAGAAG